CAGACAGAAACUGAUGUUAAAAGAAAUCCGCAAUUGUCAGUGUGUCACAUGCAUGAAUCCCACUGCUGGAAGUUUUUCAGUAAAUCAGCAUCUUUGGGGCCUGGAAACCAGCCACACAGAGAACAGAGAGAGAUCGAAGCAUCUGGUGAACUUCAGAGUUCCAUCUUUUGUGAAAGAUGAAGAGACUGGAGCAAAACUCUGCCUGAGGGAAUGAACACUGAAAACGAGGUAUUCUGUGUUUUGCCCAGUCCUAUCAGAGCCACACCAAAAACACCCUCAGAUGCUACCACCUUAUGGUUGCAUACCAUGUUAAAGACUAGGAGAAUAUUUAUGAUCAAUGGAAGAUACAGAGAUGCAGAGUGUACUCCAAGGAGAGCAGAGUUAAACAAUAGCAUAAAGUGUCUGGGAAAAAUAAUCCCAUAAUAUUGGGGUGAACUUGUUUUCCUCCAGAAAAGGAGCUGAAAUGAAAAUCUAUCAACAAAAUCUGUGUUGCAUUUGAUAGCCUAUUCAUCUGUCUACAGAGAGAAGACCCAGUCCAGGAUAUCUAGCAGCCAGAACUUCUAGAAAUGGCAUGCAGCCGGAGUCUGACAGAAAAUAAAUGAAAAUACUAUUUAGACUUCAUAUGUGCACACACAAAAAAAGACAAUUGUGAUAAAGGGUUAAUAUGCUGGGUGAAUACUUGUUUAUAUCUCUAUAUUGUUAGCACCAGGGUGUUGAUGAGCACAUAUUUAUCCAUAAGCCACUAAUUUACUGCCACUUUGCCCAUGGUGUUGGAGAACCUCGUUACUUCCCAGUAUCUGAUUGGGAGGAGCUGACCAGAAUUUUAACAGAAUCAUGAGAGCACUCCAAUGAACUUCAUGCUGCAAUGAAUCAUGUUGUCUAAGGCUGCCACACAGCACAUGUAAGUUUCCUUACUUCUGAUACAUAUAACAUGUGCUCUAGCAGUUAAUCACUGAUGUGCAAAUUCAUUUAAAGGUGACCUGCAAGAGUAUUAAAAAUAACCUCCCACGUUUAGGGAUAUAUGCUGAGUACCCCAGGCAUUUAUCACAGUUUUAAUAUGAGCUGUGACCAGUUUUGCUUGUAAUGCUUCCAAGAAGCCUUCACUCAUUGUGAAUUGUUGGCUCCUUCUCAUCGUGACCCACUGGCCUGCUACCGGUCAUGUCAAAUGUACUGAAGAGCCCUGAGGCAGACUGAGCCACCCAGGUAUGUCAAAACUCCUUAUUUCAAUGUUACAGAGGCUUUGAACCUUCUCCAUUUUAUGUGCAUAGGAAAUGAAGGAUACUAAAAAUCCCAAAACACAACAACAAAAAAGCUCUGCAUGUUAGAAACAUACACA